AAUCUUUCAUUUUUGUCUUACAACCUAGGGGUUGUGGAGCCUCCUUGUUACCACCUUUUAGGAGAAAUAAUGUAAGUGCUUUAAGGUGGGAGAAUUUCCUACUUGUAUGACUAUGGAUGUUGUAACUGAUAAGAUCUUGGCCUACAUGAAGGAAAAAGUUUAGCAAAGGGUAAAUGAGAGCAACAGCAAAUAGAAGAAAGUUACACAUAAGGAAUUUCUAGGGCUCGAGAAAUUACAGUAAAUAUUAGAUUCAUAUUUGCAGUGCUGGUGGAUGGGUGGGGAUAAUGUCUGUUAACAUUUGUUUUAACUCUUGCCAGAGAAGACUUGGCAUGUGACAGGAUGUUGGACAAUUGUUCAGAAACUGUCUGAUUUGACCUCUCAUUAAUUGGCCCUGAAACCAUCCUCAACUAGUGUUUUCCUCACUACAGUGAAAGGUCAGAGUCAGGAGUGGCUGUUUUGGAAAGCUGACUGUGGCAGACUUAGGCAAGGUAGAUAUGGAGGUCACCAUCCCCAAUUCCUUUGUUCUUGCUUGAGAGGACUACAGGCAAGACAAUGCACUUACUAAAAUAAUGGAAAAGUUUACCAAAAUGGAUAGAAAAUAGGGAAAGAGGACACUCUCAAUGGAGACAGUCCUUAGAAAGGAGAAGGGUAGUGUACCCCUCCUCUACUCUCAUUUUAUUGGGAAUCUCACAGAUAUUUUUAGAGGUCCAUCUGAGGCAACCUGUUGAAUUGAUUGUAAGCAAAGUGACAUCAGACUUUGAAAUUCUGUCUGUGCAUGCUAAAUGUCCAAAGCAACUCCAGGGUAACUUUAGCCCCAUGCUGACCAGUCCUAACUGGAACUUGUUUUUACAGAUAUUGUGGUUAAGGGUAUUAUCCUAUUUCCCUGAGUUCUGGAUUCUAAUCUGUUUAAGGGUCAAAAAUCCCCCCUUUCAAGGUAACAUAUAUUCUUAUGAGCAUUUUGGGCCUGCAUUUCUACUGCAGAUAAUAGGUUGUUUGUUGAGAAUGUAAGAUAUCCUAAUGGCUAAAGCCAGGCAGGACUGAAGGUAAAUUACUUUUUAAAUGAAGGUGGGUGUCAACACAAUGGGCCCAAUUAAUAGAAUUAUUUCCUUAACCACACGUGCCCGUCAAUUUUCUCUGUCACCUAGGAGCAGGAGCAUUUUUAUAUUCAUGUUUACCUCCUUGAGUAUUGUUGGGCUCUGAAUUUGCCUAUUCCAGUUGUGUCCAUCUCCCUUUCUUACCUUUGCACAUGACUUUUCUUUCUGGCUCCAAAAGGUAUUUGAUACUUAUACAACUCAUAAUCAUUCCUUACAGUUCAAAAUUUUUUGAAAUCUAUACAGGGCUGUGUUUGACUUUCUCAGAUCACUUGUUAAUCUACUAAUAUCUUCUACACUUUGCUCAUCCAAAAAAUAAAAAAAAAAAAAAAAUUGGAGUGCUGGGAUUUGAACCCAGGGCCUCACAUAUGUUCACAAGUUCUAUACCAUUCAACUACAUUUCCACCCCUAAUCCAAAAUUUAGUAGUUUUGAGGCAUCUGUGGAUGAGCACAAUGUGAGCCAUCAAGCACAUCUGCUAGUUACAGUAGGGAGCAAGUGUGCCCAACCAUCUACCUGUUUCACUUGAUUUUAUAGGAAUAAGGGAUCUGGAUUUUGAAUUAUCCUUUGCCAAAACUGGCUUCUUUCUUUUAAUACCAGGGUAUUUCAAUUUUUAUUUCAUUUCUUGAAAAGGAGAAUGGUUUCUGUAAGAAAAGAGGUGUUUCAGGAACUUUACAUGUUCACUGUUAUUUUCAUAUGAUUGCAUGCUGAUUAUGUUUUCUGACUGAUGUACACUAGAUGGAGUUUAAACAUCAACUUACAUAUUUAUAAAGGGAUUAUGUGUGUACAUGGCUAGCAUAUUGCUGAGGGAUUUUCCAGUUUUCUUGCCACAUUGCCUCAUUUGUAUAGAAAUGCCUCUUAAUCUUAGCAUGGCAGAUACAUACCAGAGGAAAUCUUAAGUAGCCUGUCACCCAUGGACCCACACACUGAUCCAUCCACCUUUUUCAUGAGCCAUGUGUUUUUCAACUAUUAUUGAAUAAAACCCAGUCUUUUGCACUCAAGGGGCCUAAGGUGUAUUUCAUUGGUUAUUGGAGACACUGAGUUGGUUAUGUUCCACUUCAGUUCCCUAAAUACAAAACUGGGCUCCAUCUGGGAUCUAUAUCUAGUACCACAUGUAGCUUAAGGAAAUUUCUCUUUUUGUUUAAGGAAUUAAUAGUUUGCAAUAAUAACAUCAUUUUGUAGUAAUUUGUACCUGCAACUGGAA
rnacentral:lncRNA from 1 species